CAGAAUAGAAGAGGGGCAAAAGGGUCAUCACCCAUUCGACCCCCGGGGACCCUCGGGUUGAACCUCGUCUGCAUCUGAAUGUACCGUGACUCUCUCCUCCUCCUCUUCCGGUGAAGCCCGGUGACCUUCGAGCCCUAGAUUUCCACCGCCACCACGUACUCUCCUCCUCCUCCGCCACCUCCUCUUCUGCCACUUCCCUUACCCUACCCUAGAUUUCCACGCACGAGUACGAUUCGUCUCUACCAAACGCUACCUCCCUGUCCGUCGCGGAUCUGGCGGUGCGGUUGCCGGGAAGGGGGGUGACGGUGUCAGGUGCUCAUGGUGAAGAGGUGCUCGCCUGCCGUUGUCUGUCGCCAACGCCUUCUACUUCCGGGGCCAGCAGCAAGGGGAAGCCAAGAGAUCUCCUCCAUCCUGAUCCAGGCUGUCGUCUUCUCUCCAAAAUUCCCUAAAACAUAACGGCGCAACUCAUCCCUCCCUGUCAUCGCCAUCGUCGUUGAUGCAGCAAAGGGUGUCGCCGCCACUGCCACAGGCGAUUGAGUCGCCCCCGUCGCAAUCUGUAUGGGCGGUUCAUCCUCCGCCAAUGCCACGGGCGACUUCGCCACUACCGCCACAACUUCCCCUGCAUGAGUUGCACACUUGUAGCUGCUGUGAAACUAGAAGAAGUAGAAUGCCAGAUAUUCAGAGAGCAUAUAAUUUUGCAGCUGAGAUUUAUAGUCAUAUGAUUCUGCUACCAAGAGGAAGUGACAUUUUGAAGUUGUCUAUAAAUUAUUUGUAGGAUAAAAUGUUCUGAACGUUAUGUAAAUGAUAUGCUUAUUUGCUGGCCUACAAUGGGAAUACAUUGUCUGUAAUGAAUGUUUUGAAGUGUUAGCUAUUUGCCCCAGAUUCCCAUUUUAUGGAAAUGUUCUGUCAUUUCAGUUCUGAAUGUUCCUGCUUCCCAUUUUUGGGUCAGAGAAAUUACCAUUUUUUAUGCAUG